rnacentral:rRNA from 1 species
GACCAACGCCUGCCCAGCGCCUCAUACAUGCAUGUAUAAUUCUGAUGGAGGAGCUUUCUUUUCUGGAUGAGUUCCUAAUUGGUGUGUUCCUUUUCCGUAACCAUC